CUUCGCGCACGGGUUGGACCUGGGGCAGGUUGGAAGAGUACGAAUAUGUCAUUGGGCGCGAAGACGGGGUCUGGGGCAGAAAAGAAGGGAGGCUGGAGAAGUCUGGACCCGAGACGUACUGCCUCUUUGAAGCGGAUCCGUGAAGUAGAAAUUUGGAGACGUAAGCUGACGUGGAAAUCUAUCCCCAUCCUUAGCAGGGAGGUGCUGGUCAUGUGACCUGAUGUUGAAAUUGACAAGCUGCAAGCGAGCUAGUCCGGGCCUUUUUUCCCCCCUUUCCUUUUUUUCCCUCCCCUCCCUCCCCGGCUUCCUUUCUUUGUAGCCACCACAGGGGAAGCAACAGAUCGUCACUCGGUGUUCUCACCGAAAGCACGUAAUCGCCGGUGUAACUCAUGUUGGCUGGGGGGCCUCCCUGCUCGCCAUGCGAGCUGGGGUGCGCCCCCAUGCAGCAAGCUUGUGCUCAAUCACACGGUCCUAGCACUGAGAGAUGUGAGAGCUUAACUCCUGUCCCUGCUCUCUCCCAGUCCCCGGGUGGGUGAGGGAUGCCCUGGCUGGGGAUGGCCAGGUAGGAGCCCAGAACUGUGCUGCCUGUGGUCUGACAGUCAGCUCCACCCGAGGCUCGCGUUUGCACCCCCUACUUCGCAGCCCCCCUCACUCAGGCUUGCUCUGGGUAGCACCUCAACUUCCGACAGUGACCGGACCCACUUUGGGGCCAAGGUUCGUAGCCGUGGAUGUGCCGACCUCUUGGCUUGUCCGAUUUGCACGGUGACUUGAUUACACGCUUGCAUUCAUGGUCACUUCCGAAGUGCUUUAGUGCCUUCCGUCCCUAAACCACCAACGGUCAGGUCGGCUUCUCCCUGCGGUUUGUCAAUAAUCCGCAGGGCUGGGAAGGGCCUUCGUCUCACCCGGGAUCCACCUCUCCCUUCAUCUUCCUUGCCUGUCUCCUCACCCCACCCCAUACGCCCUUGGAGAAAACCCUUCCUCCUUGCUGCAAGCCAGAGUUCGGAGUGACUUGACAGAGGCACCAGGGCUGCGCCGCUGCUCACCGGUCGCCCGCCAGCCUGGUCUUUUGGAGCUGAUGACUCAGGAAACCAUGCAAUUGAGGCAAGCCUUGGGCUGCUUUAGAAGCGCUACCAUCCACCAUCCGAGGAGUCUUCUGGGAUUAAAGGAGCAAUGUCUGGGAGGAAGUGAAAGAAGGGAGAGAACACGGAGCAGCCAGGGAAGGCCAGAGCUGAGAGGGGAUCCAGACCUGCGGCUUCCCCAUGACCGUCUUCUUUGAAGGAGCUGGGGUGUUGCUGAAGGAAAGUCGAAAAAUGAAAAAAGAUAACCUUUUCCUUUCUCCAUCCAGGGAAUAGCAGAAGGUUCAAAUCGAGAAGGUGCCAGCAGGUUUGGAUCCCAUGGGUGUCUGCAGGAGACAAAGGCAAAUUCCCGAGGAAAGGCUGGAGCGGCUGGUGGUAGGGCGGCUCCGCAGGCUGCAGCGAAGCGGGGUGCCUGGGGAGACGUCCAGCUUGGAAGGGGGCAUGUGGGGGCGCUGCAGUGAAGAUAGACAAGGGAAAAGCCUUAUGAUAAUCAACAGAAGGGAAAAAGCCCGAAGCUGCCGAAUACUUUUAGUUCCCCAGCAGGGACAGCAGAGGGGUGCUCGGAUCCCCAAGGCUGCGCGACGUUCCCAGCUUGGCCGGUGCCUGUCCCUCUUGCUCGCAGCACACUGGCUGUGCAAAUGUUUCGCCAGGCAGGCGGCAGGGGGAGGAGUGGGUGCAGCUGAGGACCAGGACAGAUCUUGGGGAAGAAGAUGAGGCAGAGCUUCGAGUUCUUAGUUUUGACUUUGCUUUGAGCCUAUAAUCAACUCUUCCGCUUUGCAGGAGGUCCAACAGCCAAGCUGAACCCACCAUGAGCUGGGAAAGACCCGACCGGGGUUCAGGCCGCCCCGGAAGGCCAAGUCCGAGUUCCAUUUCUUGAAGAGGCCGCAGCGGGCAAGGCUGUGACAUUGGCCCUGGCGACUGACUUCCCAGGCGCGGUUCUUUCUCAGGAGCUCCAGAGCUCGGAGCCAUCUCCAGAAUACUGUCUUCAGCUUGUAUUUUCUUUUAUCUUCAACUCGGAACCCCCCACCCCCACCCCGGCGGCUAAUGCAAGAGGCCAAAAAUGUUUGGAGGAAGAAAAACAAAGGCAGGAAGUGGCGGCGGCCUGACGGGUCUAGGCAGCCCUCCGCAGGGCUGGCGCAGUCGCUCCCAGAGCAGCGUUUGGAGGUGGCCACCCGGAGAGGAGAAGGCCGGCACUCGGCAAACAAGGCGGAAACGGCUAACAAGAAGAUUUGGUCAGUAAAACAGACCAACCCUUUCCGUGGCUUCGUCUGACUUGGCCCCAAAGGGUGGGAGGAGGGUUGUGCUCCUGGACCCUCCUUGGUCCGCUGAGUACGCCCAGGCGGGGACGAUGAUCCGUGAGUCUUGCGCUCCACCCGCCUUUCCAGGAGGAAUAUUGGAAUAAAGUGU